rnacentral:lncRNA from 1 species
CCUACUUACAAGUACCUCCAAGGCUUAGGUAGCUAGGCUGGGUGUAAUCUGUACAGGAUUCUGAUGCUGGGAACCCUGAGCAAGACCAAAUAAACAGCACCGCCCAAACCCUUUACACUCUUGACGUGGUUCAUUCUGCUGAUGUGUCCCAUAGCCUAGACUUGCACUGGGAAUAUUACCCUUUGGGAUCACUCAUGCUCUCAAGACAGAAAGAGCCCAUUUCCUCCUGGAGGAAAAUAUUGACAGGUAGAGUGUUGGCCUGAAUAUAGUGAUGGCUCUAUCCUCUUUCAAAAAAUGUUUGUAAUGAGGAAAAGGUCCACUUGAUCCAGUGGCACUUUAAUUAAACCUGGCCAAAGGGCAUUCAGACAGUGCUAGAUAGAGAGAAGAUACGGGACCUGUGGUCAGAACAACUUGGUUCAGUCCUGUUCAGGCUCCUUCUCGGCUGUGGGAGAGACUGUUUGGCCAAUCCUUCUUCCAUAUGCCCAGCCAUGCCCAUUCCAGCCUCCCUCGUGGUUAGGUGUGCCCACGUGACCAAGUUCUCCCAAGAAGAAGCUGAGCAGAAGUGAAGUGUGCCAGGCAUGACUAUAGAAGUUCUCACAAGAUUCCCUCCCUGCUCUUCCUUCCAGCUGACUGCAGUGCUGACGCCUGUAGGGACCCUUUGAGACGUGAGCUGAAGAUGGCAAAAGGGUGACAGCUUGGAUCUCCAAAUGACUGUGUGGAGCAGAGGCUUCCACUGCCCUGCAGCACAAGUUCUACAGUGUGCACGAGAGCAACCAUGUGUGAGCCAGAACACAGCUGGUCAAUUUAUUACUGCAGUCUGACGCACUACCUCUGGCUAUUCAAGAUGCUGACUACAUGGUUUUUGAUUCUUGCAUGGUUUUUCAAGCAGCCAUCAAGUUGUUUCUGAGCUCUGUCUGCUGAGAUGAAGUCACAUAAACCAGGUAAACCAUGUGAAAUUUGAUCAGUGACGUGCUGACAGGUCAUUGUUGUAAUCUUUCAGCGUAAAUCAACCUGAGAGAGAAAGAGAGAGAGAGAGAGAAAGGAGUACUCAAGGUUGCAAUGGAGAAUCUGUUGGAAAUGCUUCCUAUUGUAGUAAAGAGGAGAAAAUGAGGAAAACAUAGGUUUUGAAAGGAAUAUAACAAGUUUCUGUCAACUUAAGAAGCUUUACGAGGUGGUGGUGGAAUACUUUAUAAGAUCCUGAGGAAGGGGUCCCAGUCAUAAAGUGUAUGUAAUUGAAUGCAAGCUACAGAAAAAAGAGACAGUUAAGCUGCCACAGAUGGGCAAAAGAGGGAUGCCCAACUUUUAGAGUG